CGNCCCCCUGGACAAAGACUGACGCUCAGGUGCGAAAGCGUGGGGGGCAAACAGGAUUAGAUANNNGGUAGNCCNCGCCGUAAACGAUGUCGACUUGGAGGUUGUGCCCUNGAGGCGUGGCUUCCGGAGCUAACGCGUUAAGUCGACCGCCUGGGGAGUACGGCCGCAAGGUUAAAACUCAAAUGAAUUGACGGGGGCCCGCACAAGCGGUGGAGCAUGUGGUUUAAUUCGAUGCAACGCGAAGAACCUUACCUACUCUUGACAUCCAGAGAACUUAGCAGAGAUGCUUUGGUGCCUUCGGGAACUCUGAGACAGGUGCUGCAUGGCUGUCGUCAGCUCGUGUUGUGAAAUGUUGGGUUAAGUCCCGCAACGAGCGCAACCCUUAUCCUUUGUUGCCAGCGGUUAGGCCGGGAACUCAAAGGAGACUGCCAGUGAUAAACUGGAGGAAGGUGGGGAUGACGUCAAGUCAUCAUGGCCCUUACGAGUAGGGCUACACACGUGCUACAAUGGCGCAUACAAAGAGAAGCGACCUCGCGAGAGCAAGCGGACCUCAUAAAGUGCGUCGUAGUCCGGAUUGGAGUCUGCAACUCGACUCCAUGAAGUCGGAAUCGCUAGUAAUCGUAGAUCAGAAUGCUACGGUGAAUACGUUCCCGGGCCUUGUACACACCGCCCGUCACACCAUGGGAGUGGGUUGCAAAAGAAGUAGGUAGCUUAACCUUCGGGAGGGCGCUUACCACUUUGUGAUUCAUGACUGGGGUG
rnacentral:rRNA from 1 species